rnacentral:rRNA from 1 species
UACAGAGGUCUCAACCGUUGUUCGGAUUCAUUGGGCGUAAAGGGUGCGUAGGCGGGUCUUUAAGUCAGGGGUGAAAUCCUGGAGCUCAACUCCAGAACUGCCUUUGAUACUGGGGAUCUUGAGUCCGGAAGAGGUGAGUGGAACUCCGAGUGUAGAGGUGAAAUUCGUAGAUAUUCGGAAGAACACCAGUGGCGAAGGCGGCUCACUGGUCCGGUACUGACGCUGAGGUGCGAAAGCGUGGGGAGCAAACAGG